AACGAACGCUGGCGGCAGGCCUAACACAUGCAAGUCGAACGCCGUAGCAAUACGGAGUGGCAGACGGGUGAGUAACACGUGGGAACGUACCCUUCGGUUCGGAAUAACUCAGGGAAACUUGAGCUAAAACCGGAUACGUCCGAGAGGAGAAAGAUUUAUCGCCGAGGGAUCGGCCCGCGUCUGAUUAGCUUGUUGGUGAGGUAACGGCUCACCAAGGCGACGAUCAGUAGCUGGUCUGAGAGGAUGAUCAGCCACAUUGGGACUGAGACACGGCCCAAACUCCUACGGGAGGCAGCAGUGGGGAAUAUUGGACAAUGGGCGCAAGCCUGAUCCAGCCAUGCCGCGUGAGUGAUGAAGGCCCUAGGGUUGUAAAGCUCUUUUACCCGGGAAGAUAAUGACUGUACCGGGAGAAUAAGCCCCGGCUAACUUCGUGCCAGCAGCCGCCGCGGUAAG
rnacentral:rRNA from 1 species